rfam:Betaproteobacteria bacterium SG8_40 WOR_8-12_25919, whole genome shotgun sequence.
GGGGGCGACCUGGUUUCGACGCGGGUUGCGAAGCAGUGUGGUGCAUGCCAAGGUCCAGUCACCUUGUAAAUCAGCUGGAAAACGUAUAGUCGCCAACGACGAACGUUACGCUCUAGCCGCUUAAUACCGGCUGGACUCCGCACCGGUUCUCUCACGGGCCGGGCUGGGCAACCAGCAGCGGAGCCAUAUACGUGAGAUCGUGCUGUCCGGGGUUACUUCGUACGGCAUUAAAUUCAAGGUAACUCGUUGCGCUUCAGCCUGUCGGUCGGCGGUUGCGCGAUUAAAUCAAACGGCCAGACUAAGCAUGUAGUACCGCCUGUGUAGGGCUUGCGGACGCGGGUUCGAUUCCCGCCGCCUCCACCA